rnacentral:rRNA from 1 species
UGGGGAAUAUUGCACAAUGGGCGCAAGCCUGAUGCAGCCAUGUCGCGUGUGUGAAGAAGGCCUUCGGGUCGUAAAGCACUUUCAGUGGGGAGGAAGGCGAUAAGGUUAAUAACCUUGUCGAUUGACGUUACCCGAAUAAGAAGCACCGGCUAACUCCGUGCCAGCAGCCGCGGUAACACGGAGGGUGCAAGCGGUAAUCAGAAUUACUGGGCGUAACGCGCACGCAGGCGGUCUGUCAAGUCGGAUGUGAAAUCCCCGGGCUAAACCUGGGAACUGCAUUCGAAACUGGAAGGCUAGAGUCUUGUAGAGGGUGGUAGAAUUCCAGGUGUAGCGGUGAAAUGCGGAUAGAUCUGGAGGAAUACCAGUGGCGAAGGCAACCCCCUGGACAAAGACUGACGCUCAGGUGCGAAAGCGUGGGGAGCAAACAGG